GACGAACGCUGGCGGCGUGCUUAACACAUGCAAGUCGAACGGUGAACCUCUUCGGAGGGGAUCAGUGGCGAACGGGUGAGUAACACGUGGGCAACCUGCCCCCGGCUCUGGGAUAACUCCAAGAAAUUGGGGCUAAUACCGUAUGUUCACCGCUUCCCGCAUGGGUGGUGGUGGAAAGGGUUUCCGGCUGGGGAUGGGCCCGCGGCCUAUCAGCUUGUUGGUGGGGUAGUGGCCUACCAAGGCGACGACGGGUAGCCGGCCUGAGAGGGUGACCGGCCACACUGGGACUGAGACACGGCCCAGACUCCUACGGGAGGCAGCAGUGGGGAAUAUUGCGCAAUGGGCGGAAGCCUGAAGCAGCGACGCCGCGUGGGGGAUGACGGCCUUCGGGUUGUAAACCUCUUUCAGCAGGGACGAAGCGCAAGUGACGGUACCUGCAGAAGAAGCACCGGCCAACUACGUG
rnacentral:rRNA from 1 species